rnacentral:misc_RNA from 1 species
CACCGAAUGGAGCGACAUUCA